UACGUAGGGUGCGAGCGUUAAUCGGAAUUACUGGGCGUAAAGCGUUCGCAGGCGGCGCGUUAAGUCAGUUGUGAAAGCCCCGAGCUUAACUUGGGAAUUGCGCUUGUGACUGGCGAGCUGGAGUGUGGCAGAGGGAGGUGGAAUUCCACGUGUAGCAGUGAAAUGCGUAGAGAUGUGGAGGAACACCGAUGGCGAAGGCAGACUCCUGGGGCAGCACUGACGCUCAUGCACGAAAGCGAGGGGAGCAAACAGG
rnacentral:rRNA from 1 species